UAUCAUCAUAAUCCACAGGUAGAACCGGGCGAGCAACGACCGUUUUCGUUGAACGUUCGGGAUUCUCAAUCUCAUCCUCGGCCUGGUCUCCGGCGGCCGGUCGCCGGCGAAGGACCGCCUUUUUAUCCUUCGGCGCACAGAUCAUCUCGUUAGGCGUUAAAUUUUCUCUCCUUUUUUUCUCAGACUUAUUUUCUUCUUUAUUCAGACCCUUCAUCAACCCUAACCCUAAAACUUUGGGGUUGGAGUCGAUCUUGGAUUUAGGACGGCUGGAAUCGGUCGUUUUCUUCGUCGUUUUCUGUAUGAUGUAAUAAAUUUAAGAAUAAAGUUCGCAUUUUUAGGUCUGGAUCACGG
rnacentral:lncRNA from 1 species